rnacentral:rRNA from 1 species
UACGGAGGGAGCUAGCGUUGUUCGGAAUUACUGGGCGUAAAGCGCACGUAGGCGGCUUUGUAAGUUAGAGGUGAAAGCCCGGGGCUCAACUCCGGAACUGCCUUUAAGACUGCAUCGCUUGAAUCCAGGAGAGGUGAGUGGAAUUCCGAGUGUAGAGGUGAAAUUCGUAGAUAUUCGGAAGAACACCAGUGGCGAAGGCGGCUCACUGGCCCGGUACUGACGCUGAGAUACGAAAGCGUGGGGAGCAAACAGG